rnacentral:rRNA from 1 species
CGUAGGGGGCAAGCGUUGUCCGGAAUUACUGGGCGUAAAGGGCGUGUAGGUGGGUAAUUAAGUCAUGGGUGAAAACUGCGAGCUCAACUUGCAGACUGCCUAUGAAACUGGCUAUCUUGAGGGCAGGAGAGGAAAGUGGAAUUCCUAGUGUAGCGGUGAAAUGCGUAGAUAUUAGGAGGAACACCAGUGGCGAAGGCGACUUUCUGGACUGUCCCUGACACUGAGGCGCGAAAGCUAGGGGAGCAAACGGGAUUAGAUACCCCGGUAGUCCUAGCCGUAAACGAUGGGUACUAGGUGUGGGAGGUAUCGACCCCUUCCGUGCCGGAGUUAACACAUUAAGUACCCCGCCUGGGGAGUACGGCCGCAAGGUUG